GUAACGCGUACGAAACCUACCUUUAAGAGAGGGAUAGCCCUGGGAAACUGGGAGUAAUACCUCAUAGUAUUCAUUAACCGCAUGGUUGAUGGAUUAAAGCUGCGGCGCUUAAAGAUGGUCGUGCGUCUGAUUAGCUAGUUAGUAGGGUAACGGCCUACCAAGGCUACGAUCAGUAGGGGGCGUGGGAGCGUGGCCCCCCACACGGGUACUGAGACACGGACCCGACUCCUACGGGAGGCAGCAGUAAGGAAUAUUGGGCAAUGGACGCAAGUCUGACCCAGCCAUCCCGCGUGCAGGACGAAUGCCCUAUGGGUUGUAAACUGCUUUUGUUUGGGAAGAAAUGUAUUCUUUUAAGAGUAUUUGACGGUACCAGACGAAUAAGCACCGGCUAACUCCGUGCCAGCAGCCGCGGUAAUACGGAGGGUGCAAGCGUUAUCCGGAAUCACUGGGUUUAAAGGGUGCGUAGGCGGCCAGAUAAGUCAGAGGUGAAAGUUUCCGGCUCAACCGGGAGAUUGCCUUUGAUACUGUUUGGCUUGAAUCAGAUUGAGGUUGGCGGAAUGUGACAUGUAGCGGUGAAAUGCAUAGAUAUGUCAUAGAACAUCGAUUGCGAAGGCAGCUGGCUGGAUCUGUAUUGACGCUGAGGCA
rnacentral:rRNA from 1 species